rnacentral:rRNA from 1 species
GUGUAAUUUGUAGAGGAUGUUUCGGGCGCGGCGCCGGUCUAAGUCCCUUGGAACGGGGCGUCGCAGAGGGUGAGAAUCCCGUAUGUGACCGGCGGUCAAGCCCAUGUGAAACUCCUUCGACGAGUCGAGUUGUUUGGGAAUGCAGCUCAAAAUGGGUGGUAAAUUUCAUCUAAAGCUAAAUACUGGCCAGAGACCGAUAGCGCACAAGUAGAGUGAUCGAAAGAUGAAAAGCACUUUGGAAAGAGAGUCAAAAAGUACGUGAAAUUGUUGAAAGGGAAGCGCUUGCAACCAGACCUGCCCGCGGGCGAUCAGCCGUCCCUUCUGGGGGCGGUGCACGCGCCCGCGAACAGGCCAGCAUCGGUUCGGGCGGCCGGAUAAAGGCCUUGGGAACGUAGCUCCCCUCGGGGAGUGUUAUAGCCCUCGGUGCAAUGCGGCCCGCCUGGACCGAGGACCGCGCUUCGGCUAGGAUGCUGGCGUAAUGGUUGUAAGCGGCCCGUCUUGAAACACGGACCAAGGAGUCUAACAUCUAUGCAAGUGUUUGGGUGUUAAACCCAUGCGCGUAAUGAAAGUGAACGGAGGUAGGAACCCAUUAGGGCGCACUAUCGACCGAUCCUGAUGUCUUCGGAUGGAUUUGAGUACGAGCAUAGCUGUUGGGACCCGAAAGAUGGUGAACUAUGCCUGAAUAGGGUGAAGCCAGAGGAAACUCUGGUGGAGGCUCGCAGCGGUUCUGACGUGCAAAUCGAUCGUCAAAUUUGGGUAUAGGGGCGAAAGACUAAUCGAACCAUCUAGUAGCUGGUUCCAGCCGAAGUUUCCCUUCAG